GCGCAGAAUCAGUUCUGAGCCUCCUCGCCUCCCGGCUCUCCCGCCUGUUGCGGGUGUUUAUCCGGCUGCUGGGCGACCUUUCCCGGGAAGGAGGCUGUGCCUUCAUUCGGUCACGCCCCGGUCUGGGGAGGCUCCUCCCUGGUGCGCAGAAACCGCAGGGGCGGGGAGGAGCCGGGCUCUGCCUGCGCCCGGGGCAGAGCGGGGCUGGCACCGCGCAAGGGGCCCUGUUUCCGGGGAGACUGAUUUCGGCCUCCUGACCUCGGGACCCCUUGACUGUGGAGUGUCAGACGGAGGAGGACUUAGUGAUCUUGUCCAACCCCCUCCCCGCUUUUCACAGGUUGGGGAGAUGGGCGCCUGGAGAAUGGAAAUCCAGUUAUCAAAAUUGACUCCAGAAGAGAGAAACUAACAGAACAAUAACAAUGGAGGAAAUUGAGAACAUUAUCAAAAAGCUAUCAUCCUGCCAAACUCCAGGCUCAGAUUGUCUUACAGGUUAAAAAAAGUUAGUCCUUCAUGAAAAUGAAAGACCUUAAGCAACACGAUGGAUUCAGAAGCUCAUGAAAAGAGGCCACCAACACUAACAUCUUCAGAACAAGAUAUAUCACCUCGUAUUACAAAUGUUGGUGAAAUGAAGCAUUACUUGUGUGGCUGCUGCGCAGCCUUCAACAACAUCGCAAUCACAUAUCCCAUUCAGACGGUCCUCUUUCGACAACAGCUGUAUGGCAUCAAAACCCGGGAUGCAAUAUUUUAGUUGAGAAGGGAUGGAUUUCGAAACUUGUAUCCUGGAAUCCUUCCCCCAUUGAUGCAGAAGACAGCUACACUUGCACUUACGUUCGGUCUCUAUGAGGAUUUAUCCUGCCUUCUCCACAAGCAUGUCAGUGCUCCAGAGUUUGCAACCUGUUGCAUGGCGGCAGUGCUCGCAGGGACAACAGAAGCAAUUUUCACUCCACCGGAAAUAGUUCAGACGUUGAUUCAAGACCACAAGCAUCAUGACAGAUUUACCAACACUUAUCAGGCCUUCAAGGCACUGAAAUGUCAUGGAAUUGGAGAGUAUUAUCGAGGCUUGGUGCCCAUUCUUUUCCAGAAUGGACUCAGUAAUGUCUUGUUUUGCGGGCUUUGAGGUCCCAUUAAGGAGCAUCUGCCUACAGAAACGACUCACAGUGCUCAUUUGGUCAAUAAUUUUAUCUGUGGAGGUCCACUGGGUGCCAUGUUGGGAUUCUUGUUUUUUUCCAAUUAAUGUAAAAACUCGCAUACAGUCUCAGAUUGGUGGGGAAUUUCAGUCUUUCCCCAAGGUUUUCCAAAAAAUCUGGCUGGAACGGGACAGAAAACUGAUAAAUCUUUUCAGAGGUGCCCAUUUGAAUUACCAUCAGUCCCUUAUCUCUUAGAGCAUAAUCAAUGCAACUUAUGAGUAAAGGUUAUAUGAAAAAAACCAACAGUUUAGUGCCAUUUAUCAACUGAAUAGACCUUCUAAGAAGAAUGCAGUUUGGCCUCUUUCUUAGUUGGCCAAAUACAAGUUGGUGUCAUAACUCCAGGCCACAGUGAGUUAUGGGCAAAGCUGUUUUGCUUAAGCCUCAAUAAAACAGAAUAAAAGAUUCCAAUAGGAAAAUA
rnacentral:lncRNA from 1 species